GAUGAACGCUAGCUACAGGCUUAACACAUGCAAGUCGAGGGGAAACGAUGAGAGAGCUUGCUCUCUUAGUCGUCGACCGGCGCACGGGUGAGUAACGCGUAUCCAACCUGCCUCUGACCAAGGGAUAACCCGUCGAAAGUCGGACUAAUACCUUAUGCAGUCGUCGGAAGUCAUCUGAUGACGACGAAAGAUUUCAUCGGUGAGAGAUGGGGAUGCGUCUGAUUAGCUUGUUGGCGGGGUAUCGGCCCACCAAGGCGACGAUCAGUAGGGGUUCUGAGAGGAAGGUCCCCCACAUUGGAACUGAGACACGGUCCAAACUCCUACGGGAGGCAGCAGUGAGGAAUAUUGAUCAAUGGGCGUAAGCCUGAACCAGCCAAGUAGCGUGCAGGAUGACGGCCCUAUGGGUUGUAAACUGCUUUUAUGCGGGGAUAAAGUGAGGGACGUGUCCUUCAUUGCAGGUACCGCAUGAAUAAGGACCGGCUAAUUCCGUG
rnacentral:rRNA from 1 species